CAGUAGCCGCGGUAAAACGAGUGGUGCAAGCGUUAUUCGGAAUUAUUGGGCGUAAAGGGUGUGCAGACGGUUUGUUAAGUCACUUGUUAAAUUCUCCGGCUUAACCGGAGGCCAGCAUGUGAAACUAGCAGACUAGAGGGUGAGAGAGAGAAGUGGAAUUCUCGGAGUAGCGGUAAAAUGCGUAGAUCUCGAGAGGAACACCAAUGGCGAAGGCAGCUUCUUGGUCCAUUCCUGACGUUCAUACACGAAAGCGUGGGGAGCAAACAGGAUUAGAUACCCGAGUAGUCCCUGUCUCUUAUAC
rnacentral:rRNA from 1 species